rnacentral:misc_RNA from 1 species
AACCUAGCACACCUGCGGUGUGUACCUGCGGAGGGAUCAUUAAAAAGAGUGUGUACCCCUCUGUAAAAUGAGUGGGUUACCUCCCGUCCUUUGUUGACCUCUUAGGAGGUUAUUUUGAACUUUCUGCUUCGGUGGGGUUAAACCUACCGGAACACCCUCAAAUUCUUAUCAUUUAAAAAUUGUUCAGUCCGAUUUUAAUAAAAUAAAACAAAAAAACUUUCAGCAACGGAUCUCAGAUCG